rnacentral:rRNA from 1 species
UUGACCUCAAAUCAGGUAGGACUACCCGCUGAACUUAAGCAUAUCAAUAAGCGGAGGAAAAGAAACCAACAGGGAUUGCCUCAGUAACGGCGAGUGAAGCGGCAAAAGCUCAAAUUUGAAAUCUAGCACCUUCGGUGUUCGAGUUGUAAUUUGAAGAUGGUAACCUUGGGUUUGGCUCUUGUCUAUGUUCCUUGGAACAGGACGUCAUAGAGGGUGAGAAUCCCGUCUGAUGAGAUGCCCAUUCCUAUGUAAGGUGCUAUCGAAGAGUCGAGUUGUUUGGGAAUGCAGCUCUAAGUGGGUGGUAAAUUCCAUCUAAAGCUAAAUAUUGGCGAGAGACCGAUAGCGAACAAGUACAGUGAUGGAAAGAUGAAAAGAACUUUGAAAAGAGAGUGAAAAAGUACGUGAAAUUGUUGAAAGGGAAGGGCAUUAGAUCAGACUUGGUGUUUUACGAUUAUCUUCUCUUCUUGAGUUGUGCACUCGUAUUUCACUGGGCCAGCAUCGAUUCGGAUGGCAAGAUAAUGGCAGUUGAAUGUGGCUUCACUUCGGUGGAGUGUUAUAGCUUCUGCUGAUAUUGCCUGU